GCCUGUUCCCCAGGACACAUCUGACCACCUGACCUGCAGUGCUCACCCCUGCUCAGGCCCCAGGUCCUUGAACAGCUCUGGUCUGCUCCACUGUUAUGGAAAACCUUGAGGAGCUCUGAGCAGGAACGGUGCAUCAGACCACUGAAUGGUCUGAUUUCAGUAGACAAGCCCUUUCCUGCAGGGCACAGAUUUCAUUUCUGACACAGGAUCAAGCUCCGUUAGUCCCUGUGAGCAGACAGAACUGGAACCAGAAGAAGUUGGACGCUCUGUCCAAGGUCUGCCAACCUGGUGAUCAUUAGACUCCUCUUUACACCAGAUUGGUUUAGUCAAGCUGCCUGGACACAGUGUUGGCAGCUUUGGUGAGAGGUGUGGUCAGAAUGCAGCUGAACACAGAGACCACUGACAGCCCAGCUGUGCAGGAAGUGGAACUUCAAGACCCUGGUUCCGGAAAUCCAUAGCAGACAAGCACUGUCCUGCUGUAGCAUCCACCACCUGCAGGAUCCGGCUGCCACUCAGGAGGAAGACAGCAAGACCCCACCUUGCUGUGGGACCUGAGGAGAAGGAGAGCUGCCGACCAAGGCCGCACAAGGUCCUGGAGAGCAAAAGGUCUUGUGUUUAUGCAGAGAUUUUGAGCCUAUGACGGGAGGUGGUAG